AAUUGCCAUGGUUCGUGUGAAUCCGCUUUUAUGAAGAGCGGGACAUAUGUAUCCUUCCUUUCCUCUCCCGGAGCAAGUAAUGCAGGUCUUCGACUUUAAGAGCUUGUAUCCUUCCAUAAAACUGGAACCGGCAUCUCUCCUUUUGUAUAGAUUUAUGCUCCAGUACCUACCAUCUGACCAAUGUAAACCUCCAAUCCUUAGAGACCUCUGUCAUUUAAUUGUACAUCGUUCUUAUUUCAUAUAUGGACACCGUAUAUACGAACAAACUGUAGGUGUGUCCAUAGGAAGCCCAGUAGCAGGGGCUAUAGCAGAUAUAGUUGUCAGAUG
rnacentral:lncRNA from 1 species